rnacentral:rRNA from 1 species
GAUGAACGCUGGCGGCGUGCCUAAUACAUGCAAGUCGAGCGAACAGACGAGGAGCUUGCUCCUCUGACGUUAGCGGCGGACGGGUGAGUAACACGUGGAUAACCUACCUAUAAGACUGGGAUAACUUCGGGAAACCGGAGCUAAUACCGGAUAAUAUAUUGAACCGCAUGGUUCAAUAGUGAAAGACGGUUUUGCUGUCACUUAUAGAUGGAUCCGCGCCGCAUUAGCUAGUUGGUAAGGUAACGGCUUACCAAGGCAACGAUGCGUAGCCGACCUGAGAGGUUGAUCGGCCACACUGGAACUGAGACACGGUCCAGACUCCUACGGGAGGCAGCAGUAGGGAAUCUUCCGCAAUGGGCGAAAGCCUGACGGAGCAACGCCGCGUGAGUGAUGAAGGUCUUCGGAUCGUAAAACUCUGUUAUUAGGGAAGAACAAGUGUGUAAGUAACUAUGCACGUCUUGACGGUACCUAAUCAGAAAGCCACGGCUAACUACGUG